rnacentral:tRNA from 1 species
UGGGGUUGUAGCUCAGUGGUAGAGUGCUUACCUAGCAUGUGCGAGGCCCUGGGUUUAAUUCCCAGCACCACAA